rnacentral:rRNA from 1 species
GACGAACGCUGGCGGCGUGCUUAACACAUGCAAGUCGAACGGAAAGGCCCUGCUUGCAGGGUACUCGAGUGGCGAACGGGUGAGUAACACGUGGGUGAUCUGCCCUGCACUUCGGGAUAAGCCUGGGAAACUGGGUCUAAUACCGGAUAGGAGCCAUUUUUAGUGUGAUGGUUGGAAAGUUUUUUCGGUGUAGGAUGAGCUCGCGGCCUAUCAGCUUGUUGGUGGGGUAAUGGCCUACCAAGGCGGCGACGGGUAGCCGGCCUGAGAGGGUGGACGGCCACAUUGGGACUGAGAUACGGCCCAGACUCCUACGGGAGGCAGCAGUGGGGAAUAUUGCACAAUGGGCGCAAGCCUGAUGCAGCGACGCCGCGUGGGGGAUGACGGCCUUCGGGUUGUAAACUCCUUUCGCUAGGGACGAAGCUUUUGUGACGGUACCUAGAUAAGAAGCACCGGCUAACUACGUGCCAGCAGCCGCGGUAAUACGUAGGGUGCGAGCGUUGUCCGGAAUUACUGGGCGUAAAGGGCUCGUAGGUGGUUGAUCGCGUCGGAAGUGUAAUCUUGGGGCUUAACCCUGAGCGUGCUUUCGAUACGGGUUGACUUGAGGAAGGUAGGGGAGAAUGGAAUUCCUGGUGGAGCGGUGGAAUGCGCAGAUAUCAGGAGGAACACCAGUGGCGAAGGCGGUUCUCUGGGCCUUUCCUGACGCUGAGGAGCGAAAGCGUGGGGAGCGAACAGGCUUAGAUACCCUGGUAGUCCACGCUGUAAACGGUGGGUACUAGGUGUGGGGUCCAUUCCACGGGUUCCGUGCCGUAGCUAACGCUUUAAGUACCCCGCCUGGGGAGUACGGCCGCAAGGCUAAAACUCAAAGGAAUUGACGGGGCCCCGCACAAGCGGCGGAGCAUGCGGAUUAAUUCGAUGCAACGCGUAGAACCUUACCUGGGUUUGACAUGGAUCGGGAGUGCUCAGAGAUGGGUGUGCCUCUUUUGGGGUCGGUUCACAGGUGGUGCAUGGCUGUCGUCAGCUCGUGUCGUGAGAUGUUGGGUUAAGUCCCGCAACGAGCGCAACCCUUGUUCACUGUUGCCAGCACGUUAUGGUGGGGACUCAGUGGAGACCGCCGGGGUCAACUCGGAGGAAGGUGGGGAUGACGUCAAGUCAUCAUGCCCCUUAUGUCCAGGGCUUCACGCAUGCUACAAUGGCUGGUACAGAGAGUGGCGAGCCUGUGAGGGUGAGCGAAUCUCGGAAAGCCGGUCUCAGUUCGGAUUGGGGUCUGCAACUCGACCUCAUGAAGUCGGAGUCGCUAGUAAUCGCAGAUCAGCAACGCUGCGGUGAAUACGUUCCCGGGGCU